rnacentral:tRNA from 1 species
GGUGGCUCAGUGGUAAAGUGCUUGCCUUGCAUGCAUGAGGACCUGGGUUCAAUUCCUCAGCACCA